rnacentral:tRNA from 1 species
GGGCUGCUAACUCAAUGGUAGAGUACUCGGCUUUUAACCGAUUUGUUCUGGGUUCAAGUCCCAGGUAGCCCA